rnacentral:rRNA from 1 species
UGAGGAAUAUUGGGUCAAUGGGCGAGAGCCUGAACCAGCCAAGUAGCGUGCAGGACGACGGCCCUAUGGGUUGUAAACUGCUUUUAUACGGGAAUAAAGUGAUGCCUGCGGGCGUUAUUGCAUGUACCGUACGAAUAAGGACCGGCUAAUUCCGUGCCAGCAGCCGCGGUAAUACGGAAGGUCCGGGCGUUAUCCGGAUUUAUUGGGUUUAAAGGGAGCGCAGGCCGGGUAUUAAGCGUGUUGUGAAAUGUAGGCGCCCAACGUCUGCACCGCAGCGCGAACUGGUGCCCUUGAGUACGCACGACGUUGGCGGAAUUCGCCGUGUAGCGGUGAAAUGCUUAGAUAUGGCGAAGAACUCCGAUUGCGAAGGCAGCUGACGGGAGCGCUACUGACGCUCAUGCUCGAAAGCGCGGGUAUCGAACAGGGAUUAGAUACCCUGGUAGU